GGGCUAAUCGCCAGGUGUCUGACUGUUCUCCGACUUCUUGGCAUCCUACGCGGGAAGCUCCCUCUUUUCCAGAUUAACUCGAAGUACCCCACGACUACACGCUAAUGAAACUAGAGGAGGCACAGCCUCAGCUCCGUGCAGGAGGGACGCACAAGAGCAGAAUCUCCGUGGGACAUCUUUCUGGAGCAUCAGUAUUACUGCAGGAUUUGGAAGAAACGAAUUUAAAUAAUUUCCAACGUAAGACACUGGAAAUUUAAGAGAAGGCUGGAAAGUCAUUGGCCUUUAAUAACUGUCAGUCAUCUGUGCCUAAGUCAGACUUUCUCCAAGAAAAAAAAAAAAAAAACUCUAAGGAGAACCUAUUUUUCAUUCUUCUAAGUAGUUAAAAUUAGAAAUCACAGCAAGUCAAUAGAAAGCUCUGCCCUGCUAGUCUUCUAAAUCACAAUAUGGCCUUGGUAUGGAUUUAUUUGUAUUUUUUGGAGGGGUGUGUUGACAUGUUGGGUAUAAAAAUUGGGGGGUUUUGACAAAUUUUGGAAGUUUUCAGCUAUUAGUUGGUGAUUUACUUUGUACCUCAUUUAAUUUUCCUGUCCCCUCUUCAACUUGGACUCAAUCACUCCACAGGUCUCUAAGACUCUUCAUUUUCUUUAAGAUUUUUCACUCUUUUAUUCAGAAUGGACAAUUUCUAUUGCUCUGUGUUCUGUUUCUAAUCUUUGAAUAAGCUCAAAAGUAUUUUUUAAAUUUCCUUAUCUUCCUAUUGUUUCGUAAUUUCCAUGUCUUUGCUGAGGUUCCACAGCUCUUCAUUCAUGAUUAGAAUAUUUUCCUUUACCCCCAUGAACAGAUUUAUAAUGGCUGCCUUUAAACAUCCUGAAUUACAACAUCUUAAAUAUCUUAGGAUCACUUCUACUGCCUGCUUUUUAAAUUGUGUAUGGAUCUCAUUUUCGUGUUUCUUCACACGUCUCAUGAAUUUUAAUGUUGUGUACUAAAACUGUAAAGAAUCAUUAUAGAGACUCUCGAUUAUGUUGUGUACCUUUGAAAAGCAGUGUUAUUGUUUACAAAUGGUGUUAAUUGGGCUAGAUUCAAACGUCAACACCUAUCUCCCCUAUAGUGGGCACAGCUGAAAUCCUCAUUCAGUUCUUACUCACACGUAGGUCAUAUUUGUAUUAUAUAGAUGUGUUUCUAUAACAAUAUAUAAUAUACUAUUCAAGUUU